AGCGAACGCUGGCGGCAGGCUUAACACAUGCAAGUCGAACGAAGCCUUCGGGCUUAGUGGCGGACGGGUGAGUAACACGUGGGAACGUACCUUUUGGUUCGGAACAACACAGGGAAACUUGUGCUAAUACUGAAUGAGCCCUUAGGGGGAAAGAUUUAUCGCCAUUAGAGCGGCCCGCGUUGGAUUAGCUAGUUGGUGGGGUAAAGGCCCACCAAGGCUACGAUCCAUAGCUGGUCUGAGAGGAUGACCAGCCACACUGGGACUGAGACACGGCCCAGACUCCUACGGGAGGCAGCAGUGGGGAAUCUUGCGCAAUGGGCGAAAGCCUGACGCAGCCAUGCCGCGUGAAUGAUGAAGGUCUUAGGAUUGUAAAAUUCUUUUACCAGGGACGAUAAUGACGGUACCUGGAGAAAAAGCUCCGGCUAACUUCGUGCCAGCCGCCGCGGUAA
rnacentral:rRNA from 1 species